rnacentral:rRNA from 1 species
AAGCUCGUAGUUGAAUUUCGGGAUCAAUUAUUGGUCGUGCAAUAGUACGUACUGGUAUUAUUGAUUCCUACCUUCUGACGAACCAUGAUGUCAUUAAUUUGGUGUUAUGGGGAAUCAGGACUGUUACUUUGAAAAAAUUAGAGUGUUUAAAGCAGGCUCACGCUUGAAUACAUUAGCAUGGAAUAACGAAAUAGGACGUUUGAUUCUAUUUUGUUGGUUUCUAGGAUCGACGUAAUGAUUAAUAGGGAUAGUUGGG